UGGCUCAGGACGAACGCUGGCGGCGUGCCUAAUACAUGCAAGUCGAGCGAGCGGAACUAACAGAUUUACUUCGGUAAUGACGUUAGGAAAGCGAGCGGCGGAUGGGUGAGUAACACGUGGGGAACCUGCCCCAUAGUCUGGGAUACCACUUGGAAACAGGUGCUAAUACCGGAUAAGAAAGCAGAUCGCAUGAUCAGCUUUUAAAAGGCGGCGUAAGCUGUCGCUAUGGGAUGGCCCCGCGGUGCAUUAGCUAGUUGGCAAGGUAAAGGCUUACCAAGGCGAUGAUGCAUAGCCGAGUUGAGAGACUGAUCGGCCACAUUGGGACUGAGACACGGCCCAAACUCCUACGGGAGGCAGCAGUAGGGAAUCUUCCACAAUGGACGCAAGUCUGAUGGAGCAACGCCGCGUGAGUGAAGAAGGUUUUCGGAUCGUAAAGCUCUGUUGUUGGUGAAGAAGGAUAGAGGUAGUAACUGGUCUUUAUUUGACGGUAAUCAACCAGAAAGUCACGGCUAACUACGUGCCAGCAGCCGCGGUAAUACGUAGGUGGCAAGCGUUGUCCGGAUUUAUUGGGCGUAAAGCGAGCGCAGGCGGAAGAAUAAGUCUGAUGUGAAAGCCCUCGGCUUAACCGAGGAACUGCAUCGGAAACUGUUUUUCUUGAGUGCAGA
rnacentral:rRNA from 1 species